rnacentral:rRNA from 1 species
CAAUAGCGUAUAUUUAAGUUGUUGCAGUUAAAAAGCUCGUAGUUGGAUUUCUGGUGGGAGCGAUCGGUCUGGCGCUUAGCGCGAGUACUUGCAUCGUCUCCGGCCAUCCUUGGGGAGAGUCUGUCUGGCAUUAAGUUGUCGGGCAGAGGAUCCUCAUCGUUUACUGUGAAAAAAUUAGAGUGUUCAAAGCAGGCUUAUGCCGUUGAAUAUAUUAGCAUGGAAUAAUAAGAUAGGACUUUGGUACUAUUUUGUUGGUUUGCGCACCAAAGUAAUGAUUAAUAGGGACAGUUGGGGGUAUUCGUAUUCCGUUGUCAGAGGUGAAAUUCUUGGAUUUACGGAAGACGAACUACUGCGAAAGCAUUUACCAAGGAUGUUUNCAUUAA